GGCGUCAUAGCUCAGUUGGGAGAGCAGCAGACUGAAGUGGAAUCGUCUCCGUGGCUUGAACACGGGGGUUGAUUACGUAAUCUGAAGGUCCCGUGUUCAAGCCACGGUGAUGCCA